rfam:Populus trichocarpa scaffold_14_contig_86, whole genome shotgun sequence.
UAAUCUGCUUGAGCUAGAUCCUUAUUUAGUUAUAAUAGACUCACACCUGACUAAUCAGAAUCACCCACUAUUAUAUGAACAAUAACCUUUUAAUAUUUUAAUUGGAUU